rnacentral:rRNA from 1 species
AUACGUAGGGGGCGAGCGUUGUCCGGAAUUACUGGGUGUAAAGGGCGUGUAGGCGGGGAUGCAAGUCAGAUGUGAAAUACCGAGGCUUAACCUCGGGGCUGCAUCUGAAACUGUGUUUCUUGAGUGUCGGAGAGGAAAGCGGAAUUCCCAGUGUAGCGGUGAAAUGCGUAGAGAUUGGGAGGAACACCAGUGGCGAAGGCGGCUUUCUGGACGACAACAGACGCUGAGGCGCGAAAGCGUGGGGAGCAAACAGGAUUAGAUACCCUGGUAGUCCACGCCGUAAACGAUGGAUAUUAGGUGUAGGAGGUAUCGACCCCUUCUGUGCCGGAGUUAACACAAUAAGUAUCCCACCUGGGGAGUACGGCCGCAAGGUUGAA